rnacentral:siRNA from 1 species
UGUGACAUCUACUGUCCCUUGA